rnacentral:tRNA from 1 species
GCGAAAGUGGCGGAACUGGCAGACGCGCCGGACUUAGGAUCCGGUAGCCGUAACGGGCUAUGGGGGUUCGAGUCCCCCCUUUCGCACCA